GGAGGAACUCAACACAACUCUGGAGAGCUCUGGGAGUCAAUGCAAUGGAGGUUUUGCAGCAGAAGGUUUCGAACCGUUCGGUCUGGCGGCUGGCAAGGCACAGUUGAAGAGAAUACAAAACGGGGUUAAAUCGUGAGAGCAAGAUCUACUGGCUGCAAGCAAAGGUGUACAGAUAUUCAGGGUCUGAGAGUUCAACAUCAAAAGGACCACUGUUAGGAUUAAAAGAAAAAAAACUACAGGUUUCAGCAAAGACUACUGAUUGCCAAGAGUUGAUGCUAACAGCCCUUCGAUUGAACAACAAUCAAUGGCAAGCUGAACGCUUUGUUUGGAACAUGCGGCAUCGGUGAGAGCGGUCCCCGUGCGGAAAGGCAGACGAAGAUGGCGCAGGGAGGCCGAGUGAAUGUUGAAGGAGGAGAGAUCCAGCAGAACCAAUGCCAGGACGGAGGCCACCCCAGCUCAAGGUCUCCCGGUGAGUGAGGAGCAGGCCCCAGACAGACCCGCAGACUGAGCCAGGGCUCCAGGUCCAUCAAAGCAUGAGCUGUUCCCAAGAGCAUCUACCGUUACUGAGAUCAGACUCUAAGGUGAUCUCUACUGUUUUAUUUUUCUGGCUUUAUGUUCUGUGUUUCUGGUUUCUUUUCUUUGCUUUAAGAUGGCAAUAAAUACAUGUGAUAAUAAAUAAUUCAAAUCAA